rnacentral:rRNA from 1 species
GGAAGGUGGGGAGUGACGUCAAGUCAGCAUGGCCUUUAUAUCCUGGGCGUACACACACGCUACAAUGGUCGGUACAAUAGGUUGCCAAGCCGCGAGGCGGAGCCAAUCCACAAAGCCGGCCUCAGUUCAGAUUGUAGGCUGCAACUCGCCUGCAUGAAGAUGGAGUUGCUAGUAACCGCAGGUCAGCAAUACUGCGGUGAAUACGUUCCCGGGUCUU